CACCCUUUUUCAGCUCGCUAUCAUUCGCCUGCUGUGCGCUUCACAUUAUGCGCCUGUGUUGUUGAUGCUGCUCUACCAUCACGCACCCAUUUCUAUGUUUUUGUUUUGGUUCUUUUUUUUUCCGGCUCUCUGUCUCCAUGCGUCCCAGUGCGCGCGAACGCCCCUCCCCCUUUUCACCUUUUGCGUGGGUGGGUGUGCGUGUACCGCUUUACGACUUCCGAAUGUGGGCGGACUUGAUUGUGUUGCUGCGCGCUUUUUCAUCCAUUCCCUAUAGGUCAAAUGGUGCACAUACAAGGCAGCCACUGUUCGCGUCAUGCGAUUGCUGUUUGCCCUCGCGGCCCCUAACGAAUACAGAGAGACAAGCAUGGGCUAAGCGCAUCAUCGUCUCUGCCUAGCGAGCCAUCCAAGCGCUGAGAACGCCGUGCCCCACUCCUCGCAGCUCUGUGCUCGAGCGGGGCCUUUGGCCUGCGUGCCGCCACAGGUCUCGUGCACUUUUACGGCUUCCAUCUUUGAAGUCCCCUCCUUCCCCUCCCCAG
rnacentral:misc_RNA from 1 species